UCAAGACCAAAACAUAUUGAACGAUUUGGAGAACUCAUGAAGUAAGCUAUUGCAGAAUAACCAUCCUAGCCCUCGUCUCAUCCCAUCCUGGGAGGGGGGUGGGGGCCACGACGGAGGGCAGAUGAAACACGAACCGGCACAGCUUUAUGCCAAGGAAAAAUUGAAAGGCAUAGGCCCUACGUUAGGCUAGAUGGUGUGGAGUACUGUUGUGCUCCAUGCGGAUGGACAUGACUCUCGAUAAUGGAUAUCUCCUCGCAUCGAUGAAGAGCACAUCUAAAUGUGAUAUGUGGUGUGAAUUAUAAAAUCUUGUGAACCAUCGAGUCUUUGAACACAAGUUGUGCAUGAGGCCAGCCAGCUUAAGGCACGUCCGCGUGGGUGUCAAGCGUCGCGUCGCUCUGUGCCAACUCCGUCCUCUUGAUGGGUGUGUGUCGGCCAAGGCUAGGAUGCGCAGGGUGGCUCAUCGUACCCAUCGGUGCGGUGGUCUAAAGAGUCGGUCAUCAUCUCACUGGUUACGAACAAUAAGGGGUGGGUGAAAGCUGUGAGCAUAGCCUACAUUGUCUCGUGCUGAGCUUGAGAGAAUGAUGGUACCUUCAAGGUGAUCCCAACCCAUGCGCCAAUUUACAUGUGGUUGCUUCGAAU
rnacentral:rRNA from 1 species